rnacentral:rRNA from 1 species
UACAUGGGGUGCAAACGUUGCUCGGAAUUAUUGGGCGUAAAGCGCGCGUAGGCGGUUACUCAAGUCGGAUGUGAAAGCCCUCGGCUUAACUGAGGAAGUGCACCCGAAACUGAGUAGCUAGAGUACUAAAGAGGGUCGCGGAAUUCCCGGUGUAGAGGUGAAAUUCGUAGAUAUCGGGAGGAACACCGGUGGCGAAGGCGGCGACCUGGGUAGAUACUGACGCUGAGGCGCGAAAGCGUGGGUAGCAAACAGG